rnacentral:lncRNA from 1 species
AGAAUCUCUAGGAUUUAGAGAGAGUGACUUGAGUGUAUAGAUCUAUACGGGGCUGACUACCCCACACCUGGCUGCUAGCUACAGCCGAACCGAAAUGGUUCAAGGGUGACGAAAGUCAUAAGUAUGUGGACUACUUAUUGCCACACGUGGACUAAUUAUUGCCACAAGUUCAGUCUCUAGUAUGGUUAUGGAACUCGCAAUUAGGAUAACAGAGAUUUACUUAUAGUAAUAAUGAACCACUUAUUACAUUUUACAGAUAACCAGGUUUUGGUUUGCAUCUUUUACAUAAGGUAACCAACAUUCAGGAAAGUAUGGGACUUUCCUGGGGGAAAAAUAAUGAACAUAACACGAAUACAUAUUUUACAAUGAUAACCAACAUUCAGGAAGGUAUGGGAUCUUCCUGGGAAACCUUGUACAUAACCAGGUCUAGCAUAAUACAUCUUUCACAUUGAGAAUCAACAUACAGGAAAGCAUGGGGCAUUCUUGGGUAACAUAUACAUAAUCAAAAAAGUGUAUCAAACUGAAUAACAUUACAUCUUUUACAAUAACUGACAUUCAGAAAAGUAUGGGACUUUCCUGGGAAUACACUGGUACGUAAACAGAAUAGUUUAACGAAUUGGGUAACCAAACUAUACUUUACUUUUGUGAAACAACAACCAACUUUUAAGAAAAUUUGGGAUUUUCUUAGUGUAUAACCUUUUCAGAAACAGAAAGGAAACAUGUACAUUUUCACAAAACGAAACUAUUUAUGAACUCACCAGCGUUAUGCUGAUUUUCAAACCGCUUGUGUUCUCAGGUCAGCGAUAGUACAGGUACCUGAACACUUACUUAAUCCAAGAUGGUGUGCGUGCAAAGCUCGUUCAUUUUGUUUAUAUCUAUACUAUGUAUCACCUCUGUAUAAACUGUGUCUUUUGGAACAAAUUGUAAAACUAUUAAUAUGUAAUGUAAUGUUUGUUUCACUUUACUUACUAUGUACAUUGGAUUUGAUACUCAACGUGGAGUCAACCCCGGAAAUGUUUUCGCCUUCGGUUUUUGAGGUGUGACAGAUUGGUAUCAGAGCCCUUGUUUAUAGUGAAUAAAGUAUACCAAACUUUACAUGGUAUAAAACUAUAAACACUAAAGGGCCUAAGUACUCUGAAAUAAAAGUAUCUUCAGACUAUAAGUAUUUUCAAAAGUAUAUAAGUAUACCAAAUCGUCGAGAUCCGUAACUAUAAGUAGAACAAAACAUAAGUAAAUGGGUGUUGUGUAUUGUGGUUAAACCUGGGCAGUUAUGUAGUCGUGUCUAGGAUCAAUAUAGCCUGGCCAACUAUAUUUAUUUAAGACACGGUCAACAUGUGCUUGGGAGUGACUGUGAUAUGCGGCAUGCCUAAAACUUACCCUAAUAUCUCAAACAUCGAACCAUUGUCAUAAACAAUUCAUGAAAUACUAUGGAAGUAUUUCUCGAUCCCAAUCCCCUGUAGAAAUCCUUAUUCGAGUAGCUAUCUUUGAUUAUUCUUAACGAUAAAUUAUCUGUUUCGAUAACUCUUUCCUGUUUUAUCGCUUAAUUGGAAUAAAUAUCUGUUAUAUCUCUCGAUUGAAUUCAGAGGACUUAUCAUCCUCUCUUUCUUGAUCAUUAUCAGAUCAAGAUGCCUCCCAGAAAGAGACCCAGCUCAAACCCUCCGCCACCACCUCCUCCUGAAAUUGAUCUUGUGUUAUUUCAAACAGCUGUUACCGCCGCGGUGGCAGCUGCCAUGUCCCAAUUGAACACCGGUGGUUCCGAUGGUUCAGGAGGUGGUACUCAAGAUCAAGAAGGCAAUCAGGGACAUCGAAGUUCCUAUAAGGACUUCAUGAAUUCAAAACCAACAUACUUUGAUGGCACUGGAGGUGUCAUUUCCUUAUCCCGAUGGUUCGAGAAAAUCGAAUCCAUUUUCGAAAUAUGUGCCUGUGCUGAAUCCGAUAAGGUCAAAUUUGCAGCCUGUACCUUUAGUAAUAAAGCCUUGACUUGGUGGAAUAGCCGAGUCAAAUCCUUAACCCUACCUAUAGCUAAUGCCAUGGGCUGGAACACCAUGAAAGAACUCCUCCUUGCCGAAUAUUGUCCCCGUGGUGAAAUGCAGAAGCUAGAGCACGAGCUCUGGAACCUGAAGAUGAAAGGUUCCGACAUUGCUGCAUACACCUCCCGAUUCGAUGAUCUUGCUCUUCUCUGUCCUGGUUUAGUCACUCCUGAAAGCAAAAAGAUCAAGAGAUUUAUUUGGGGGUUAACCAAUCCAACAAAGGGUCACCUCUUAGCUGCUCGCCCAGACACAUAUGAUAGUGCUAAGACUUUAGCCCAGGCCAUAAUUGACCAUAGUGAUGGUGUCGAGGAAGCCACCACUGCCCCUGAGUCGACUAAAAGCAGUGGUGAGAAAAGGAAAUUCUGGAAGAAGAAGAAGGUUCAAUCUUCUCAAGGGUCCUCCAAAAGACAGCAAACAGUAGCAGUCCAUGCUGCUACUACUCCUGUUGCAGCUGUUUCUAUUGCGGGAUCCACAGCUCCAACUCCUACCAACCGGUAUGUUGGUAGUCUCCCUCUCUGUGAAAAGUGCAAGUAUCACCACAACCCUGGUCCCUGUCGAGAACUAUCAUGUACCAACUGUGGUAAGAAGGGGCAUACGGUCCAAUUCUGCAAUGCUCCAGCUCAAUCGGCCAACCAAUCAUCUGGAGCAGGUGUUAGUCAAGCCUGCUACAACUGUGGAGAAGUUGGGCACUUUAAAAGGAACUGUCCCAAGAAGUUGACUGCUGAUAACACUGGAAGGAUUCUAACCAUGGGACGGGAGGAAGCAGUCGCUGAUCCCACUGUUGUCUCGGGUACGUUCCUUCUCGACAACUCAUAUGCUAAUAUUCUUUUCGAUUCGGGUGCUGAGAGAAGCUUUAUUAGUCAUGCAUUCAAACAUAACCUAAAACGUAAUUCCCAACCUUUAACUGAAACAUUUACCGUUGAGAUGGCUAAUGGUGAGAAAGAAAGCGCUAACGAUGUAUUCAUAGGUUGUACGCUUACCUUGAAUGACCACUCAUUUCCUAUAGAUCUCAUACCCGUUUCUAUUAAGAGCUUUGAUGUUAUCAUUGGCAUGGAUUGGUUGAGUUCCAAUCAUGCUGAUAUCCUUUGUUACGAAAAAGCCAUCUGUCUCAACCUUCCCUCGGACCAAACUCUCGUAAUCUAUGGCGAUAAACCCAGUUCCAAUCUUCGUAUCAUUUCCUGCAUCAAAGCUCAAAAGCUCCUUCGAAAGGAGUGCAUUGCAUUCUUAGCCCAUGUGAUCAACAAGAAACAAGAAGUUAGAGACCUCGCGAGCAUCCCCGAAGUCUGUAACUUUCCUGAUGUGUUUCUCGAAGAGCUUCCAGGAAUCCCUCCCAAGCGUCAGGUCGAGUUUCGUAUUGACCUAAUUCCUGGAGCUACUCCCGUAGCGAAGUCUCCGUAUCGCUUAGCUCUAGAAGAGAUGUAGGAGUUAUCCAGUCAACUCAACGAGUUGCUUAGUAAAGGAUUCAUUAGACCGAGUUCCUCACCUUGGGGAGCUCCGAUUCUAUUUGUCAAGAAGAAAUAUGGAUCCUUUCGUAUGUGCAUCGAUUAUCGCGAACUGAACAAGUUGACUGUCAAAAAUCGAUAUCCUCUUCCACGAGUAGAUGACCUCUUCGAUCAACUUCAGGGAGCCAGUUACUUCUCCAAGAUAGACCUUCGAUCAGGGUACCAUCAGCUACGAGUUCAUGAAAGUGAUGUGUCCAAAACAGCUUUCAGGACUCGAUAUGGACACUACGAGUUCGUAGUGAUGCCCUUUGGUCUAACCAACGCACCGGUAGUGUUCAUGGACCUGAUGAACCGGGUGUGUCGUCUCUAUCUAGAUAAGUUUUUCAUUGUGUUCAUCGAUGACAUACACGUCUAUUCCCGAAGCGAAGAAGACCACAAACAACACUUGAGACUAGUGUUGGAGACCCUGCGAUCGGAGAAGUUGUAUGCAAAAUUUUCCAAGUGCGAGUUUUAGAUUCAGAAGGUAACCUUCCUCGGUCAUGUGGUAAGCGAGGAUGGUAUUCACAUAGAUCCUUCCAAGAUAAAGGCGAUAGAGAAUUGGUCAGCACCGAAGACACCCACAGAAAUCCGGCAAUUUUUGGGUCUCGCUGGCUAUUAUCGAAGAUUCAUCCAGAACUUUUCCAAAAUCGCCAAACCUUUAACCACUCUAACACAGAAAGGUGUACCCUUUUGUUGGAGUGAUAAACAAGAAACCGCAUUUCAGACACUGAAGAGAGCCUUGUGCAGCGCGCCUGUUCUGUCCCUACCCGAAGGGACAGAGGAUUUCGUUGUCUACUGCGAUGCGUCUAAUCAAGGCCUAGGAUGUGUGCUUAUGCAAAGAGGAAAAGUAAUUGCCUAUGCUUCUAGACAAUUGAAAGCACGUGAGGUCAACUAUACCACACAUGACUUGGAGCUAGGAGCAGUGGUCUUUGCAUUGAAGAUUUGGAGACAUUAUCUCUACGGAACCAAGUGCACGAUCUUCACUGAUCACAAGAGCCUGCAACAUAUCUUUGAUCAGAAAGACUUAAACAUGAGGCAACGGCAAUGGGUAGAAUUACUCAGUGAUUAUGAGUGUGAAAUCCGCUACCAUCCCGGCAAGGCCAAUGUGGUAGCAGAUGCCCUUAGCUGAAAGGAGAAUGCAGGCCGCAAGGUGAAGAACCAGACGAUGACCAUCCAUUCCAAUUUACCCAUGCAAAUCCGAGAAGCUCAGUUAGAAGCUCUCAAACCCGAGAACAUAUCGACCGAAGCUUUGAGAGGAAUGGAAAAGAAACUUGAGAUCGGAGGUGACGGAGUCCAUUGUUUCAUGGAUCGGAUCUGGAUCCCCAUGUUCGGAGGAUUCAGGGAGAUAGUCAUGGAGGAAGCACACAAAACCAGAUACUCUGUUCACCCGGGCUCUGAUAAGAUGUACAUAGAUCUCAAGAAACAAUAUUGGUGGCCAAACAUGAAGGAUGAGAUAGCUAUGUUUGUGGGCAAGUGUCUGACUUGCGCCAAGGUAAAAGUUAAGCACCAGAAACCCUCAGGUCUGNCCAGAAACCCUUAGGUCUGCUCCAACAACCUGAGAUACCUGAAUGGAAAUGGGAGAUGAUAACCAUGGAUUUCAUCACCAAACUACCCAAGUGCUCGAGUGGGUAUGAUACCAUUUGGGUGAUUGUCGAUCGUUUGACAAAGUCAGCUCACUUCGUUCCAAUCAAGGAAUCAUACAAGAUGGAAAGACUCGCGCGGAUUUAUAUCCAGGAGAUAAUCCGACUGCACGGUGUACCUGUAUCCAUUAUCUCUGAUCGAGAUAGCAGUUUUACCUCCCGAUUUUGGCAGUCUCUUCAGAAAGCUAUUGGAACCAAAUUAGAUAGGAGCACGGCGUAUCAUCCUCAAACAGAUGGACAGAGUGAGAGAACAAUCCAAACUCUGGAAGACAUGCUUAGCGCAUGUGUCAUUGACUUUGAGUCGUGGGACACACAUCUAUCCUUGAUCGAAUUCUCGUACAACAACAGUUACCACACCAGCAUUAGGGCUGCUCCGUUCGAAGCCCUAUACAGUCGUAAGUGCAGAUCCCCUCUGUGCUGGGCCAAGGUGGGGGAUACACAGUUAGUCAGGAGUCGAGUCCCCGACAGUGCUCUCACUGGUCCUGAAAUCAUCCGCGAAACAACCGAAAAGAUCAUUCAAAUCCGUAACCGACUGAAAGCCUCACGAGAUCGCCAAAAGAGUUACGCUGAUAACCGUCGGAAACCAUUGGAAUUCCAGGUUGGAGACCGUGUCCUGUUAAAAUUCUCGCCCUGGAAAGGCACUGUACGCUUUGGUAAAUGUGGAAAACUUAAUCCAAGGUACAUUGGACCCUUCGAGAUCCUCUCCAGGAUCGGUCCAGUUGCCUAUAAACUUCGUUUGCCUCACAAACUUAGUAACAUUCAUCCUGUCUUCCAUGUUUCAAACCUCAAAAAGUGCCUAUCCGAUGAAACCUUAGCGAUUCCCAUAGAUGAGAUCGACAUCAACGAAAACCUCAACUUUGUGGAGGAACCGAUCGAAAUCAUGGAUUGAGAAGUCAAACGUACAAAGCUAAGUCGCAUCCUGUUAGUGAAGGUUCGCUGGAAUGCCAAGCGGGGACCGGAAUUCACUUGGGAACGGGAAGAUUCAAAGAAACAAAAGUAUCCACAACUCUUUCCAAAUCCAUGAUUUGUAUCUUGUCUUAAAUUUCGGGACGAAAUUCCCUCUAACGGGGGGAUAAUGUAACAACCCGAAAUUUCAUAUCACUUAUUGUAAUCCAAUUUGAUCAACCAAACGUCGUUUCCAAUUUUGUUUCCGAUUUCACCAUUUUAAUUAAGUCAUUAACUUGUACGUAUCUAAAAUGACUUAAUGGGUGUCUUAAUACAUUUAGAAAUCAUUUUAACACCCCACUUUAGUGAUCGGGAUAAUUCUAGAAUUUACCAUAUCGGGUUACGGCAACCUAAUCGGGUACGACCAAAAGCCUCACCUAACGCCGGUAUCGGGUAGAAUUCCACCGUGUCCAAAACUUAGACACUAUAUAAAGUGUUUUAAGACUCCAUUUGAAGCCUUUGGCCAUUUUCUCAUAAACCUCUCCCAACCUCUCUCCUCAUCCAUAAUCAAAGGUCCAAAAACAAAGAUUUAAGGCUUCAAAUCAAAGAGGUAUCAUCCCUAGCUUGUUAUCCAACCUCUUUAGCCUCCAAAUUGAUGUAUAAAUUAGGUUUUGGGACCAAGAACAUGAGUUUACGGCCAAGGAGCAAGCUUGGGCCGUAAACUCCUCAAAAUGGGGUUUUUAAGCCAAAUUUACCCUUCCAAGUCAUAGUUGGGACUUAGAUAUGACCUUGAGGCUUGCAAAUCUAGACUUGGAACACAUUAAACAUGAAUUAUAGGAGACAAAAUAGAGUUUACGGCCAAGGCUCCUUCUUGGGCCGUAAACUCCUCUAAAAUGGGGAUUAAGUGCCUUUAAACAUGUCCAAAUGCCUUGUAACUUAACCAAUAGCCUUGUGGUAAAUCCUAGAAUCAUCUAAAAAUGGUUUGGAGACCUUAAACACAUCAAAUGUCAUACAUAUUGGAGUUUACGGCCUAAGCACAUAGCCUUUGGCCGUAAACUCAUAAAAUGAUGCCAAAAAUGCUCCAAAUUCACCCUUAAGGUUUAGAAAAAUUCCUAGAAUUACAUAUGAGUGUUUUAAACAUCAAAAUCAAAUUUUCUUGGCCAUGGGUGAGUUUACGGCCGUAAACUCCAAGGUUGUGGCCAUAAACUCCCUUCCAAGUGGUAUAAACUCAUGUAAUCCAUUCCAAGGCAUUUUAGAAAUCCAUUCUAGCAAUCCCCAUGUCCAAUCAAGCCAUUAAACACCCAAAUUCACACCAACAUGAGUUUACGGCCGUAAACUCAUGUAUGGGUGUGUUUUGUGGUUGUAAACUCAUUUAAAUGUUUACUCUUGGGGAGUAAACUCAAGUCCCAAGUCCCUAGUGUCAUUAUAUGUCCGUAGAUGUCACCCGGGUCGCUCCAAACGCUCGUUUUGAAGUGUUUAACCUCGUUGGAGUGUAAUGUGUCAUAUAAUUAGUGAGUAUAAAUCUAAUUAGUAUUAUAUGGACAUUAUUACAUUUUACAUAGGGACAUCACGAGUAAUCAAGCCCCGAACCGACGCUUAGUAUCCGAAUCAGUUGCGAUUCCUGAGUUUGGUGAGUUCAUACCCCUACCAUUUUUCACUGUUUUCACUGUUUUCAGGGGGGGAACACAAGCAAAGUACAAGGGUUCUUGUACUCAAAACUUAUUUUGUGUGUGUGUGUGUGUGUUUCACAAUUCAUAUUCUUUUAAUACAGAUAUACACAACUGAUAACCAGUAGAACAUGCAGAUCAUACAAACAAUUAUUUGUGAAAUGGGUUUUAUAAACUGUUAUGCUUAUAUAUUUCACAAAUGGUUUUCCACAUUUUUAUCAGUUGAAAGCAUGACAUUAGAACACAUGAAUAAUAUGAAUUGUACACUGUCUUGUCCUCGGUAACAUUCCACAUAGAUACGCGAAUGAAGGAUCAUCAUAUUAUUACUAGUAAAUUUGUUAUUCCUGUAUGAUUGGAGACACGUCCUCGGCGAACACUCCACAGAGAUACGCGAGUGGAGGACUACACCCGUAACCAGAAUCUCUGGGAUUUAGAGAGCGUGACUUGAGUGUAUAGAUCUAUACGGGGCUGACUACCCCACACCUGGCUGCUAGCUACAGCCGAACCGAAAUGGUUCAAGGGUGACGAAAGUCAUAAGUAUGUGGACUACUUAUUGCCACAUGUGGACUACUUAUUGCCACAAGUUCAGUCUCUAGUAUGGUUAUGGAACUCGCAAUUAGGAUAACAGAGAUUUACUUAUAGUAAUAAUGAACCACUUAUUACAUUUUACAGAUAACCAGGUUUUGGUUUACAUCUUUUACAUCUUUUACAUAAGGUAACCAACAUUUAGGAAAGUAUGGGACUUUCCUGGGGGAAAAACAAUGAACAUAACACGAUUACAUCUUUUACAAUGAUAAACAACAUUCAGGAAGGUAUGGGAUCUUCCUGGGAAACCUUGUACAUAACCAGGUCUAGCGGAAUACAUCUUUCACAUUAAGAAUCAACAUACAGGAAAGCANUGGGUAACAUAUACAUAAUCAGAAAAGUGUAUCAAACUGAAUAACAUUACAUCUUUUACAAUAACUGACAUUCAGGAAAGUAUGGGACUUUCCUGGGAAUACACUAGUACGUA